UUUUCAGUUUAGUCUUUUCCUUGCAUAACUAUUGCAGUUCCUCUUCGGAUCACUCUGUAUAGAAUUUGGGAAACAUGCUCUACCAAGCGGAGAAUCGAAACAUCUUACGAUUGGUUCUCCGCAGCCGCAGCUGGAUGCAUCCACGCUGACGGUGUACAGUAUGCGAUUCUGCCCCUAUUCCAGACGGGUCUUGCUGGUUCUGCAUAAGAAAAAGAUCCCGCACAAGAUCGUCAACAUCAACCUGAAGGCGAAACCCGA